GACUUACCCUCUGAGGCUGGCUAUAGACCGACAGCAUCGUGUCAAAGAACUUCUAGUCUGGACAUGCAACUCUGGAAUCUCUUUGUAAAAUAAAAACAUGUCAAAUGAA